CCCUCGCCUCCUUGAUCUUGCGGCUCCAAGCACGCAUCCCGAGGGCCAUAAGAGCCUCCCCAACCCUUCUCCACCCUGCGGCUCUCCUAGGGUUCCCUCUCCCCGCCGCCAUCUCCUUCUUCUCCAUCUUCUUCCCCUUUCUCACGUAAGACUCUGAAGAUUCAGUAGUUCAGGUUCAGAGAGAACAACGCCUCCGGUCGCCACCCUUCCCCCUCGUCCCCGGCAGAUCCUCUGGGGAGAUCAAGAGCGCAGGGAGGAUGCUGGAUCCUCCCCCGUUCCAUUUUCGUCGCUAGGAGGUGGGAUCCUCCUCCCUAGCGUCGGCCCCGCGUCGUCGUCGCCGGAGCGGAGCAACGGGUCUCUGGCCCCGCCUUGCCUCUUCUUCCUCUCCGUCGGGCCGAUCCUUCUCCUCAUCGUGCUUGGGUACAAGUACCACUGAUGCAGGAGAUCUCGAUGACAGCCAGUUGAAGUGGGAGUUCGAUGAGGACAGCGGCAGACUGUACGUGACUUAUCCGGAGGACUAGAGGCCGUGGUCAUGAUCGUGGGCCUAGCAUGCAGGAUAUCAUAGCUUUAUCUGUUUUUAUCUUGUCCAUAGCUGGACCAUUCCAUGUUCCGAAUAAGUGUGCAUGUAUGACUAUAUGACUAUGUUCUUAUCAGAUGGCAAGUGUAUGCCCUACUUGUCACUCUUUCA